GGGUGUAUAGCUCAGUGGUAGAGCAUUCGAAUGCAGAUCGGGAGAUCCCGGCUCAUACCCGGAUGUUCCCA